AGGUUCCGCCAUCAGCCCAGUCGGUCCAGCCAGCAUCGGUCAUAGUUGACCAGUUCCACCAGCUUUUUCAACAAGUUCAAAAUCUGACAGCUAUAGUUCAGGCAGUCCAAAUUUUUCUUGCACCUCUUCAGAUGGCACCGUAGCCUGCUCAAGCUGCCCCUGCACCCUCUCCAGCUGUGCAACCUGUAAUUCUCAUAGUGGCACCCC
rnacentral:lncRNA from 1 species